rnacentral:rRNA from 1 species
GACGAACGCUGGCGGCGUGCUUAACACAUGCAAGUCGAACGAAGAGCGACGGAAGCUUGCUUCUAUCAAUCUUAGUGGCGAACGGGUGAGUAACGCGUAAUCAACCUGCCCUUCAGAGGGGGACAACAGUUGGAAACGACUGCUAAUACCGCAUACGAUCUAACCUCGGCAUCGAGGAUAGAUGAAAGGUGGCCUCUACAUGUAAGCUAUCACUGAAGGAGGGGAUUGCGUCUGAUUAGCUAGUUGGAGGGGUAACGGCCCACCAAGGCGAUGAUCAGUAGCCGGUCUGUGAGGAUGAACGGCCACAUUGGGACUGAGACACGGCCCAGACUCCUACGGGAGGCAGCAGUGGGGAAUCUUCCGCAAUGGACGAAAGUCUGACGGAGCAACGCCGCGUGAGUGAUGACGGCCUUCGGGUUGUAAAGCUCUGUUAAUCGGGACGAAAGGCCUUCUUGCGAAUAGUGAGAAGGAUUGACGGUACCGGAAUAGAAAGCCACGGCUAACUACGUG